AGGAGGCAGCAGUAAGGAAUAUUGCACAAUGGACGAAAGUCUGAUGCAGCAACGCCGCGUGGAGGAUGACACAUUUCGGUGCGUAAACUCCUUUUAUAUGAGAAGAUAAUGACGGUAUCAUAUGAAUAAGCACCGGCUAACUCCGUGCCAGCAGCCGCGGUAAUACGGGGGGUGCAAGCGUUACUCGGAAUCACUGGGCGUAAAGAGCGUGUAGGCGGGUUGAUAAGUUUGAAGUGAAAUCCUAUAGCUUAACUAUAGAACUGCUUUGAAAACUGUUAACCUAGAAUAUGGGAGAGGUAGAUGGAAUUUCUGGUGUAGGGGUAAAAUCCGUAGAGAUCAGAAGGAAUACCGAUUGCGAAGGCGAUCUACUGGAACAUUAUUGACGCUGAGACGCGAAAGCGUGGGUAGCAAACAGGAUUAGAUACCCUAGUAGUC
rnacentral:rRNA from 1 species